rnacentral:rRNA from 1 species
GGGUAGGCUAACUGCAGUCGAGCGGAGAUAUUAAGAGCUUGCUUUUAUAAUUUUAGCGGCGGACGGGUGAGGGACACGUGGGCAACCUGCCCUUUGCAGAGGGAUAACAUCAAGAAAUUGGUGCUAAUACCUCAUAAGCUCACACCAUGGCAUCAUGGAGGGAGAAAAGAUAUAUCGGCAGAGGAGGGGCCCGCGGCUGAUUAGCUAGUUGGGGAGGUAACGGCUCACCAAGGCGACGAUCAGUAGCCGACCUAAGAGGGUGAUCGGCCACAUUGGAACCGAGACACGGUCCAAACUCCUACGGGAGGCAGCAGUGGGGAAUAUUGCACAAUGGGGGGAACCCUGAUGCAGCAACGCCGCGUGAAGGAAGAAGUAAUUCGUUAUGUAAACUUCUAUCAACGGGGAAGAAAGAGAUGACGGUACCCGAGUAAGAAGCCCCGGCUAAUUACGUGCCAGCAGCCGCGGUAAUACGUAAGGGGCGAGCGUUAUCCGGAAUUACUGGGUGUAAAGGGUGAGUAGGCGGCUGGGCAAGUCAUAUGUGAAAUACCGGGGCUCAACUUCGGGGCUGCAUAAGAAACUGUCCAGCUAGAGUGCAGGAGAGGCAAGCGGAAUUCCCAGUGUAGCGGUGAAAUGCGUAGAUAUUGGGAAGAACACCGGUGGCGAAGGCGGCUUGCUGGACUGAAACUGACGCUGAGUCACGAAAGCGUGGGGAGCGAACAGGAUUAGAUACCCUGGUAGUCCACGCCGUAAACGAUGAGUGCUAGGUGUCGGGAGGAGACUUUCGGUGCCGGAGCAAACGCCAUAAGCACUCCACCUGGGGAGUACGGCCGCAAGGCUGAAACUCAAAGGA